GCCGAGGUGGUGGAAUGGUAGACACCGGGGACUUAAAAUCCCCUGGCCGAAAGGCCGUGUGAGUUCGAAUCUCAUCCUCGGCA
rnacentral:tRNA from 1 species